AUGGCGGCGGUUCGGUACGCCGCAAGGAGGCUCGGUGGCUCCCUGCUCCAGCGAACGCAGGCGGCGGUCCUGGAGGGGCGCCGUCUCGUGCCAAGCAGGUUCAUGCGCUCCCGCCAGUUCACCAAAGUCUCCAGUGAGCAUGCUGGGAAGAUCCCGAAGAAACACGAGCUGUCUGACGUGGAAUAUAAGUUGAAGGUUCAGGCGGAGCUUUCUAAGAAUUUAAAGGAGUUGGAGAAGUUGCAGCAGGAAGAGGCGAAUGCAAGACCAAAUGCCAUUCAGUUGAGGUUGAUGUCUAUUGAACGUGCGAUUGAUGGUGUGAUCGGUGGAGCCGCCAAGUUGGGAUUUUUCGAAUGGUUAUGA
rnacentral:rRNA from 1 species